rnacentral:tRNA from 1 species
GCCCCGGUGGUGUAGCCCGGAGAUGGUUUUGUUAAUUAAUGCAAAUCAUCAGGUAACCAAUCAUACGGCACUUUCGAUGCCGUGACUCGGGUUCAAAUCCCGACCGGGGCA